GGCCGCCUGGCGAAAUGGCAUCGCGUCUGACUACGAUCAAAUGUGUAAUCAGGAGAUUGCAGGUUCGACCCCUGCGGUGGUCA
rfam:Paxillus rubicundulus Ve08.2h10 scaffold_152_c1, whole genome shotgun sequence.